ACUCCUACGGGAGGCAGCAGUAGGGAAUCUUCCACAAUGGACGAAAGUCUGAUGGAGCAACGCCGCGUGAGUGAAGAAGGUUUUCGGAUCGUAAAACUCUGUUGUAAGGGAAGAACACGUACGAGAGUAACUGCUCGUACCUUGACGGUACCUUAUUAGAAAGCCACGGCUAACUACGUGCCAGCAGCCGCGGUAAUACGUAGGUGGCAAGCGUUGUCCGGAAUUAUUGGGCGUAAAGCGCGCGCAGGCGGUCCUUUAAGUCUGAUGUGAAAGCCCACGGCUCAACCGUGGAGGGUCAUUGGAAACUGGGGGACUUGAGUACAGAAGAGGAAAGCGGAAUUCCAAGUGUAGCGGUGAAAUGCGUAGAGAUUUGGAGGAACACCAGUGGCGAAGGCGGCUUUCUGGUCUGUAACUGACGCUGAGGCGCGAAAGCGUGGGGAGCAAACAGGAUUAGAUACCCUGGUAGUCCACGCCGUAAACGAUGAGUGCUAAGUGUUAGGGGGUUUCCGCCCCUUAGUGCUGCAGCUAACGCAUUAAGCACUCCGCCUGGGGAGUACGGCCGCAAGGCUGAAACUCAAAGGAAUUGACGG
rnacentral:rRNA from 1 species